rnacentral:piRNA from 1 species
UGAUGUCACCACACUGCUAUAUGGAA